rnacentral:lncRNA from 1 species
UCCUAGGUAUUUUAUUCUCUUUGAAGCAAUUGUGAAUGGGAGUUCACUCAUGAUUUGGCUCUCUGUUUGUCUGCUAUUGGUGUAUAAGAAUGCUUGUGAUUUUUGCACAUUGAUUUUGUAUCCUGAGACUUUGCUGAAGUUGCCUAUCAGCUUAAGGAGAUUUUGGCCUGAGACGAUCGGGUUUUCUAGAUAUACAAUCAUGUCAUCUGCAAACAGGGACAAUUUGACUUCCUCUUUUCCUAAUUGAAUGCCCUUUAUUUCCUUCUCCUGCCUGAUUGCCCUGGCCAGAACUUCCAACACUAUGUUGAGUAGGAGUGGUGAGAGAGGGCAUCCCUGUCUUGUGCCAGUUUUCAAAGGGAAUGCUUCCAGUUUUUGCCCAUUCAGUAUGAUAUUGGCUGUGGGUUUCUUUUAACACUUAACUCACAUAACUCAGUCCUCUGCUCAAAACCUCCCCCUAGUGAGAUGGGAAGUCCCUGACUCCUGCCCACCACCUCUCCAUACUGUCCCUUCCUACUCAUUUCCUACCUCUCUGCCCCUCCUUACCCUCCCCAGGUACCCUGGCUUCUUUGCUAGCCUGUGAACACACCAGAGCCCAGGACCUUUGCACUUGGUGUCUUCUCUGCCUUGAGCCAUCUUCUCCACAAUAAUUGCAUGAGGCCCUCACUUGAAUGACAUUGUAAUAGUAAACUCUUGCCUUCACUACAUCAUUUAAAAUCGCACCCUUCACGCCGUCACCAAUAUCCAGCACCCCGUAUCUCCUUCCUGCUUCUUUCCCUAUAGUCAUCUCACCUUUUGACAUAGUAUUUAUCAUCUCACUCCCUAUUCCCCUACCCAUUAAAAUACAAGCUCUGUGUAGGCAGGGAUUUUUGUUUGUAUUCUAUUUUAUUUUAUUUUUUUUACUGUAUCUCCACUGCCUAGUUCACAGCCUGACACUUAGUGGAUAUGUAAAUCUUUAUUGAAUGAGUAAUUGAUUGCACAACUUAGUCACUGAACAUUUCAAAUUCUUCUUGUAUAAAUAUCAUAUUGCUAAGUAGUAAUAAAUAAAACAUAAAACAGAGAAACAUAUAGAAUUUUUAUAUGUAGAAGGGGCUUGGUAGUAACAGUUUGGUUGGAAGAGGAGUAAGAAACCCCACAUUAAGUCUUCAUUUUUAUAGCAAGAACUAUGAUUUUACUUUGGUUGUAUCUGGGCUAAAUUGAGGGUGGAAAUGAUGAAAAUGGGAGAGAGAAAUAAAGUCACCUUACCAAGUUCCUCCUUGGCUCUGUUAUUUCUACAAAACAAUUGAGUUUAUCAAAAAGCCUUUUCAUAUACAUUAUUGUUAUUUCUUGAGCCUCAUAACAAUCUUCAUGGGUAGGCAUUACUAUUCACAGGUGACAGAUGGGAAUCUGGAGUUGGGAGAGGUUAAGGAGCUGUCCCAGGCUGCGUAGCUACUUGGUUCCACAGACAAUAAGAAAGGCAUUUGCAAUAGAGGACAUCUAUGUUCUUAGAUGUGAGAAUGCAUUACUAAAAUACCAAGAUAAAUGUGAAAGUACCUGUCAGAUUCUUUGUACAGAAUGGUAUUCAAUAAAAAGCCAGGUGUCUUAAACCAACCUUCUUCUGAUCUUUAUGAGCACAACACAUUGCAUAUACCAUAAGCUUUCAUUUAGGGAAACAUUCCCUUAGCAGAGCUCCAGCCAUGGUCUAAUUGCACAUUUAAUGCUCUACCUUUGCUUCCAAAAAAGCUGGAAGAAGGCAGGGCAUUAGGUGUGGCCUCCUCUGGGUUCCUACACCUACUGCCUUGUGGACAGAUGGGAGGUCACGCAAACUCC